rnacentral:rRNA from 1 species
UACGGAGGGGACUAGCGUUGUUCGGAAUUAUUGGGCGUAAAGAGCUCGUAGGCGGUUCGUCGCGUCGGCUGUGAAAUCCCGAGGCUCAACCUCGGGUCUGCAGUCGAUACGGGCGGACUGGAGUUCGGCAGGGGAGACUGGAAUUCCUGGUGUAGCGGUGAAAUGCGCAGAUAUCAGGAGGAACACCGGUGGCGAAGGCGGGUCUCUGGGCCGAUACUGACGCUGAGGAGCGAAAGCGUGGGGAGCGAACAGG